rnacentral:rRNA from 1 species
CCUACGGGGGGCAGCAGUGGGGGAUAUUGCACAAUGGGGGGAACCCUGAUGCAGCGACGCCGCGUGGGUGAAGGAGCGUUUCGGCGCGUAAAGCCCUAUCGGCAGGGAAGAAGAAGGACGGUACCUGACUAAGAAGCCCCGGCUAACUACGUGCCAGCAGCCGCGGUAAUACGUAGGGGGCAAGCGUUAUCCGGAUUUACUGGGUGUAAAGGGCGUGUAGGCGGGAAAGCAAGUCAGAUGUGAAAACCAUGGGCUCAACCUGUGGCCUACAUUUGAAACUGUUUGUCUUGAGUACUGGAGAGGCAGACGGAAUUCCUAGUGUAGCGGUGAAAUGCGUAGAUAUUAGGAGGAACACCAGUGGCGAAGGCGGUCUGCUGGACAGCAACUGACGCUGAGGCGCGAAAGCGUGGGGAGCAAACAGGAUUAGAUACCCCGGUAGUC